UACAGAGGGUGCGAGCGUUGUUCGGAAUUACUGGGCGUAAAGGGCGCGUAGGCGGCCUGCUAAGUCGAACGUGAAAUCCCCGAGCUCAACUCGGGAACUGCGUCCGAUACUGGCAGGCUUGAAUCCGGGAGAGGGAUGCGGAAUUCCAGGUGUAGCGGUGAAAUGCGUAGAUAUCUGGAGGAACACCGGUGGCGAAGGCGGCAUCCUGGACCGGCAUUGACGCUGAGGCGCGAA
rnacentral:rRNA from 1 species